rnacentral:rRNA from 1 species
GGUAGCGCCUCGUGAAUUCAUCUCCGGGGGUAGAGCACUGUUUCGGCUAGGGGGCCAUCCCGGCUUACCAACCCGAUGCAAACUGCGAAUACCGGAGAAUGUUAUCACGGGAGACACACGGCGGGUGCUAACGUCCGUCGUGAAGAGGGAAACAACCCAGACCGCCAGCUAAGGUCCCAAAGUCAUGGUUAAGUGGGAAACGAUGUGGGAAGGCCCAGACAGCCAGGAUGUUGGCUUAGAAGCAGCCAUCAUUUAAAGAAAGCGUAAUAGCUCACUGGUCGAGUCGGCCUGCGCGGAAGAUGUAACGGGGCUAAACCAUGCACCGAAGCUGCGGCAGCGACACUGUGUGUUGUUGGGUAGGGGAGCGUUCUGUAAGCCUGUGAAGGUGUGUCGUGAGGCAUGCUGGAGGUAUCAGAAGUGCGAAUGCUGACAUAAGUAAC